AUUGAACGCUUGCGGCAGGCUUAACACAUGCAAGUCGAACGAGUGGCUGACGGGUGAGUAAUGUAUGGGGAUCUGCCUGAUGGCGGGGGAUAACUACUGGAAACGGUAGCUAAUACCGCAUACCAUCAGAUGAACCCAUAUGGGAUUAGCUUGUAGGUGAGGUAACGGCUAACCUAGGCGACGAUCCCUAGCUGGUCUGAGAGGAUGAUAAGCCAAGAGGGGACUGUGACACGGCCAAGAAUCGUACGUUAGGCAGCAGGGGGGAAUAUUGCACAAUGGGCGCAAGCCUUAUGCAGCCAUGCCGCGUGUAUGAAGAAGGCGUUCGGGUUGUAAAGUACUUGCAGUCGGGAGGCGUUACCGACAGAAGAAGCACCGGCUAACUCCGUGCCAGCAGCCGCGGUAAUAC
rnacentral:rRNA from 1 species